ACAGUUAGGGAGACCCUUGCUAUCUCUACUUCCAAUGCGUACACACACACACACACACACACACACAUAUAUAUCCAUCCCUACCUAUACAUUAUGUAGUUCUAUAAUUAGGGUUAGAUCUGUCCUAUCCAAAGUGUACCUCACUAAUAAAUGCUUAGUAAUAGUAUUUAGUUCUACAAGAAUCUCCAUGAGUCUUCUGUAAUUAGCUGCAAAAACUAAACUCUGCAACUUCUUUUGCAUAAGGUUUGACUAGAAGGGCCAUUGUGGCUGGGGAGGAUGGGGGUUGUAGUCCAACAACAUCUGGGAACCCAAGGUUGGGAUUCCCUACUGCUCUGGAUCACCAAGUGGGUUCUUUCCAGCUCAGGUAUUCUAUUAAUGUUACCUGUAUUUGCACUAGUAAACUUCCGCCAACGCACCCGCACCUGCUACCAAAGAUGUUGAGUGCAAUCCCAAUGUAGGUGAGAGAGAACUUCCAAAUGCCAGAUAUAGGUCGAGCAAAAUGAUUAAAUGUCUAAAUGACGAUACUGCCUUGCAGAAAUCCAAGCAUGUAUUGGAAGGCUUUGAUCCAAAUAAUUUCUCCUUUAAAGAUGCAGGAAUCUGACCCCUGAGAACAUUUAUCCCUCUGUUACAAAACUAAUCCUCUUUGCAGUCAUGUGCUACGUUUCCAGGUCCCUCUUUUGCAAGCCUCUGAAUUUAUGUUAGAACAUAAGAAGAGCCCUGCUGGAUCAGGCCCAAGGACACCCAUCUAGUCCAGCAUCCUGUGUGAAACACACAGCGGCCCACCAGAUGCUGCUGGAAGCCUACAGGCAGGAGUUGAGGGCAUGCCCUCUCUCCUGCUGUCACUCCCCUGUAACUGGAACUCAGAGGCAUCCUGCCUUUGAGGCUGGAGGUGGCCUACAGCCCUCCGACUAGUAGCCAUUGAUAGACCUCUCCUCCAUGAAGUUAUCCAAACCUCCUUAAAGCCAUCCAGGUUGUUGGCUGUCACCACAUCUUGUGGCAGAGAAUUCCACAAGUUGAUUAUGCGUUGUAUGAAAAAGUACUUCCGUUUGCUGGUCCUAAAUUUCCCAGCAGUCAAUUUCAUGGGAUGACCCCUGGUUCUAGUGUUAUGUGAGAGGCAAAAGAAUUUCUCUCUGUCCACCCUCUCCACUCCAUGCAUAAUUUUAUACACUUCGAUCAUGUCUCCCCUUAAUUGCCUCUUUUCCAAGGUAAAGAGCCCCAGAUGCUGCAGCCUUGCCUCAUAAGAAAGGUGCUCUAGGCCCCUGAUCAUCCUGGUUGCCCUCUUCUGCACCUUUUCCAGUUCUACAAUGUCCUUUUUUAGAUGUGGUGACCAGAAUUGUACGCAGUACUGCAGGAGGAAGCAGUCCAAAGGAUGUCUUCUCCACUUGCAGUCUGAAGAGAUACAAUCCAGAAUUCCACCUCAUUCUGUGUAACUUGAAGAAUGGGCCUCAGUUCUUGGAGAGUUCAGCGUGUAUUGUGUAUUGAUUGUCAUUUAAAAUUAUUUUAACGUUGUGUUAUGAAAUGGUGA